UACGUAGGGAGCAAGCGUUGUCCGGAAUCAUUGGGCGUAAAGGGCGCGUAGGUGGCGCGGUAAGCGUGCGGUGAAAGCCUGGGGCUCAACCCCGGGUCGGCCGUGCGAACUGCUGGGCUUGAGCACUGUAGAGGCAGGCGGAAUUCCGGGUGUAGCGGUGGAAUGCGUAGAGAUCCGGAAGAACACCGGUGGCGAAGGCGGCCUGCUGGGCAGUUGCUGACACUGAGGCGCGACAGCGUGGGGAGCAAACAGG
rnacentral:rRNA from 1 species